GUUAUAUGGUCAAGCGAAUAAGCGCACACGGUGGAUGCCUUGGCGGUCAGAGGCGAUGAAGGACGUGGCAGCCUGCGAAAAGUAUCGGGGAGCUGGCAACAAGCUUUGAUCCGGUAAUGUCCGAAUGGGGAAACCCACCCGCUUGCGGGUAUCCUGCAGUGAAUACAUAGCUGCUGGAAGCGAACCUGGUGAACUGAAAUAUCUAAGUAACCAGAGGAAAAGAAAUCAACCGAGAUUCCGUAAGUAGCGACGAGCGAACGCGGACUAGCCCUUAAGCUGAUUUGGUUCUAGGAAAACGCUCUGGAAAGAGCGGCCAUAGAAGGUGAUAGCCCUGUAUCUGAAAGGGCCAUUUCAGUGAAGACGAGUAGGGCGGGGCACGUGAAACCCUGUCUGAACAUGGGGGGACCAUCCUCCAAGGCUAAAUACUACUGACCGACCGAUAGUGAACCAGUACCGUGAGGGAAAGGCGAAAAGAACCCCGGAGAGGGGAGUGAAAUAGAACCUGAAACCGUGUGCGUACAAGCAGUAGGAGCUCCGCAAGGAGUGACUGCGUACCUUUUGUAUAAUGGGUCAGCGACUUACUGUUCGUGGCAAGCUUAACCGUAUAGGGGAGGCGAAGGGAAACCGAGUCUGAUAAGGGCGCAUAGUCGCGGGCAGUAGACCCGAAACCGGGUGAUCUAGUCAUGCCCAGGGUGAAGGUGCGGUAACACGCACUGGAGGCCCGAACCCACUCCCGUUGCAAAGGUAGGGGAUGAGGUGUGAUUAGGAGUGAAAAGCUAAUCGAACCCGGAGAUAGCUGGUUCUCCUCGAAAGCUAUUUAGGUAGCGCCUCAUAUGUAUCCUCUCGGGGGUAGAGCACUGUUAUGGCUAGGGGGUCAUCGCGACUUACCAAACCAUUGCAAACUCCGAAUACCGAGACGGACUGUAUGGGAGACACACGGCGGGUGCUAACGUCCGUCGUGAAAAGGGAAACAACCCAGACCCACAGCUAAGGUCCCAAAUUCACUGCUAAGUGGAAAACCAUGUGGAAAGGCACAGACAGCCAGGAGGUUGGCUUAGAAGCAGCCACCCUUUAAAGAAAGCGUAAUAGCUCACUGGUCGAGUCGGUCUGCGGGGAAGAUUUAACGGGGCUAAGCAGUGAACCGAAGCUUGGGGUGCAUAACUUUGUUAUGCGCGGUAGAGGAGCGUUCCGUAAGCCGUUGAAGGUGGAUUGAGAAGUCUGCUGGAGGUAUCGGAAGUGCGAAUGCUGACAUGAGUAACGAUAAUGCGGGUGAAAAACCCGCACGCCGAAAGCCCAAGGUUUCCUUGCGCAACGUUAAUCGGCGCAGGGUGAGUCGGCCCCUAAGGCGAGGACGAAAGUCGUAGUCGAUGGGAAGCAGGUUAAUAUUCCUGCACCUCGCGUAAGUGCGAUGGAGGGACGGAGAAGGUUAGGUGUACCAGGCGUUGGUUGUCCUGGGGAAAGGCGGUAGGUUUGGAUCUUUGGCAAAUCCGGGAUCCUCUAAGACCGAGCACCGAGACGAGCCUUUAUGGCGAAGUCACUGAUACCACGCUUCCAGGAAAAGCUCCUAAGCUUCAGCUUACGCAGACCGUACCGUAAACCGACACAGGUGGGUAGGAUGAGAAUUCUCAGGCGCUUGAGAGAACUCGGGUGAAGGAACUAGGCAACAUGGCACCGUAACUUCGGGAGAAGGUGCACCCUUUUUGGUGGCUCGUGCGAGCUAUAGCUGAAGAGGGUCGCAGUAACCAGGCCGCUGCGACUGUUUAUCAAAAACACAGCACUCUGCAAACACGAAAGUGGACGUAUAGGGUGUGACGCCUGCCCGGUGCUGGAAGGUUAAUUGAUGGGGUCAGCCGCAAGGCGAAGCUCUUGAUCGAAGCCCCAGUAAACGGCGGCCGUAACUAUAACGGUCCUAAGGUAGCGAAAUUCCUUGUCGGGUAAGUUCCGACCUGCACGAAUGGCGUAACGACAGCGGCGCUGUCUCCACCCGAGACUCAGUGAAAUUGAAAUCGCUGUGAAGAUGCAGCGUUCCCGUGGCAAGACGGAAAGACCCCGUGAACCUUUACUAUAGCUUUACACUGAACGUUGAGUUCGUCUGUGUAGGAUAGGUGGGAGGCUAUGAAACUGUGGCGCUAGCUGCAGCGGAGCCAUCCUUGAAAUACCACCCUGUCGUGCUUGACGUUCUAACCUGGGCCCAUUAUCUGGGUCGGGGACCGUGUAUGGUGGGUAGUUUGACUGGGGCGGUCUCCUCCUAAAGAGUAACGGAGGAGCUCGAAGGUACGCUCAGCGCGGUCGGACAUCGCGCACUGUGUGCAAAGGCAUAAGCGUGCUUGACUGCAAGAUCGACGGAUCAAGCAGGUAGGAAACUAGGACUUAGUGAUCCGGUGGUUCUGUAUGGAAGGGCCAUCGCUCAACGGAUAAAAGGUACUCCGGGGAUAACAGGCUGAUACCGCCCAAGAGUUCAUAUCGACGGCGGUGUUUGGCACCUCGAUGUCGGCUCAUCACAUCCUGGGGCUGUAGUCGGUCCCAAGGGUAUGGCUGUUCGCCAUUUAAAGUGGUACGCGAGCUGGGUUCAGAACGUCGUGAGACAGUUCGGUCCCUAUCUGCCAUGGGCGUUGGAGAUUUGAGAGGGGCUGCUCCUAGUACGAGAGGACCGGAGUGGACGAACCUCUGGUGUUCCGGUUGUCACGCCAGUGGCAUUGCCGGGUAGCUAUGUUCGGAAGCGAUAACCGCUGAAAGCAUCUAAGCGGGAAGCGCGCCUCAAGAUGAGAUCUCCCGGGGCACAAGCCCCCUGAAGGAACCAUGUAGACUACGUGGUUGAUAGGUCAGGUGUGUAAGUACAGCAAUGUAUUGAGCUAACUGAUACUAAUGAUCCGUGUGGCUUGACCAUAUAACCU
rnacentral:rRNA from 1 species